rnacentral:rRNA from 1 species
AUUGAACGCUGGCGGCAGGCCUAACACAUGCAAGUCGAACGGUAACAGGAAGAAGCUUGCUUCUUUGCUGACGAGUGGCGGACGGGUGAGUAAUGUCUGUGAAACUGCCUGAUGGAGGGGGAUAACUACUGGAAACGGUAGCUAAUACCGCAUAACGUCGCAAGACCAAAGAGGGGGACCUUCGGGCCUCUUGCCAUCGUAUGUGCCCAGAUGGGAUUAGCUAGUAGGUGGGGUAACGGCUCACCUAGGCGACGAUCCCUAGCUGGUCUGAGAGGAUGACCAGCCACACUGGAACUGAGACACGGUCCAGACUCCUACGGGAGGCAGCAGUGGGGAAUAUUGCACAAUGGGCGCAAGCCUGAUGCAGCCAUGCCGCGUGUAUGAAGAAGGCCUUCGGGUUGUAAAGUACUUUCAGCGGGGAGGAAGGGAGUAAAGUUAAUACCUUUGCUCAUUGACGUUACCCGCAGAAGAAGCACCGGCUAACUCCGUG